GAUAACCGAACAAACAUGGGCUGUAACUGCCUGUCGUUUGCUAUCGCUAUUCGCUAGUAACUAAACGGAUUAGCGCGAAGAUUGACUGUGAUUUAUGCACGGCCUUCAUAUCCAGGGAAUUAGAAAUGCGCGUGCUUAGUUACGCUGCUGGAAAUUUAUGCACAUGUGCAGAGUUGAACACAAAAAAGGCAUGGUGUGGAUGUGCCUUAAAAGUUAGUUAUUCAAAAUAACGUUUGAGGCACUUGUCCCCAGAGUUGGAUUUGCAUUCAGUGGAUUAUUUACAAAGGACUUCAUGAAUGGAUAAUAUACUGUGAAGCAGUAUUCAGAAUGCUGAACUUCUUAAACAGAUGUCUACAAGAUGUUUGUGGAUUGAAGAUAGACCUUUAUGUUUGUUAAUGAUGGAUCUAGACACAUUGUUUAGGAUGCCAGUACUAAACACUCUGUACACCAACUAGAUUAUAAUUUUGGAUCAGGAAUGCUACCCUGAUAUGUCGGAGCUCCACUACUUUUCACUCCAAGAUGUCGCUCAAUAUGAUGUGUUAUUUGACAAUUUCCAGGCAGUCUUCUGAACUUCAGGUAACUUGAAUGUAGCGUGGGGCAACGUACACUGAUAAGCCAAAAUGGUGUGGCCACUGCCCACAACAAGAGUGGAUGUUGCUUGGUGGCAUUAUGGGCCCGUGACGCAGUAACAAAAAUAUGUAAGUGGAGCAGAUACUGAUGGGAGAACACCGUAGUGAAGAUAUGGGCUGCAAAUGGGGAAACUGACAGCUACAAAGCACCUGCAUCCCUUCAUGCUUAAUGUCUUCCCCAGUGGUGAUGUUCUCUUUCAGUAGUACAAUUGUGUGUGUCUCGGAGCCAGAACCAUGCUACAGUGGUUUGAGGAGCAUUAUAGUGAACUCACGUUGAUGUCUCAGUGACCAAAUUUGCCUGAUGUAAAUCCUAUGGAAUUACAUGACCUGUGUGUAUAUCUUUAAUGCCACAUAGCUCCACAAACCUACCAACAAACUAUUGGAUGCCUCCACAAAAUUUUGGGCAAACUGCCGGAUGUUUGCAACUUCCUGCCACAAUAUUUUGGUGCAGAGUCUUCUGGCCAUCUUCAGGUGAUACUGGCGAAAACUCCCUGAGCUCUGGUAUUUAAGACCCCUCCGGCCCAUGUGUGGUGGAUUCACUUGGCGUUGCGCAUGCGCUACUCGAGUGCAUCUGAUUCUGCUGUGCCGCGCGCCCUCCCUGGUGAAAACUCACCGCAUCAAUAUCAAUUCGAUUUUCUUCCUGCGGUUCCAUCACAGAACUACGCCAGCUACAGAGGACACGAAGUUUUUCGACAAUUGGAUUCCAUGCCGAAUUCAGUUGGAAACCGUCGUCAUGAUUAAUAAGACUCUCAUUGUCAGACAGCCCUAUUUCCAUGGCUUCAUUAAUAACAGAACUCCAAAAGUUAGAUACAUGGGCGACAAUUUUUGUCUCGUUGUAAUUCAUGGCAUGACCAGUGUAAAUACAGUGUUCGGCUGAAGAAGGCGAGUAUGCCGCUGAUGUUCUAAGAUGCGAUAGUGCACAGUACGCAUAAUUUGCCCUAUGUAAGAUUUGCCACAUUCACACAGAAUUCUGUAAACACCUGCCUUGCGCAGCUCUAGGUCGUCUUUGACAGAUGCCAACAGUGCCGAAAUUUUUGCAGGAGGGUGAAAGAUUAAUUUCACUUUAUAUUUUCUUAGUAUUCUGCUUAUUUGCGCUGAAAUAUUACCAGUAUAUGGUAAUGGAGAGAGAGCUGCAGACCAGGGGAGAGCACUG